rnacentral:rRNA from 1 species
AUGAACGCUGGCGGCGUGCCUCAUACAUGCAAGUCGAGCGAACAGACGAGGAGCUUGCUCCUCUGACGUUAGCGGCGGACGGGUGAGUAACACGUGGAUAACCUACCUAUAAGACUGGGAUAACUUCGGGAAACCGGAGCUAAUACCGGAUAAUAUAUUGAACCGCAUGGUUCAAUAGUGAAAGACGGUUUUGCUGUCACUUAUAGAUGGAUCCGCGCCGCAUUAGCUAGUUGGUAAGGUAACGGCUUACCAAGGCAACGAUGCGUAGCCGACCUGAGAGGGUGAUCGGCCACACUGGAACUGAGACACGGUCCAGACUCCUACGGGAGGCAGCAGUAGGGAAUCUUCCGCAAUGGGCGAAAGCCUGACGGAGCAACGCCGCGUGAGUGAUGAAGGUCUUCGGAUCGUAAAACUCUGUUAUUAGGGAAGAACAAAUGUGUAAGUAACUAUGCACGUCUUGACGGUACCUAACCAGAAAGCCACGGCUAACUACGUG